rnacentral:rRNA from 1 species
ACUUUGUUAUGCGCGGUAGAGGAGCGUUCCGUAAGCCGUUGAAGGUGGAUUGAGAAGUCUGCUGGAGGUAUCGGAAGUGCGAAUGCUGACAUGAGUAACGAUAAUGCGGGUGAAAAACCCGCACGCCGAAAGCCCAAGGUUUCCUUGCGCAACGUUAAUCGGCGCAGGGUGAGUCGGCCCCUAAGGCGAGGACGAAAGUCGUAGUCGAUGGGAAGCAGGUUAAUAUUCCUGCACCUCGCGUAAGUGCGAUGGAGGGACGGAGAAGGUUAGGUGUACCAGGCGUUGGUUGUCCUGGGGAAAGGCGGUAGGUUUGGAUCUUUGGCAAAUCCGGGAUCCUCUAAGACCGAGCACCGAGACGAGCCUUUAUGGCGAAGUCACUGAUACCACGCUUCCAGGAAAAGCUCCUAAGCUUCAGCUUACGCAGACCGUACCGUAAACCGACACAGGUGGGUAGGAUGAGAAUUCUCAGGCGCUUGAGAGAACUCGGGUGAAGGAACUAGGCAACAUGGCACCGUAACUUCGGGAGAAGGUGCACCCUUUUUGGUGGCUCGUGCGAGCUAUAGCUGAAGAGGGUCGCAGUAACCAGGCCGCUGCGACUGUUUAUCAAAAACACAGCACUCUGCAAACACGAAAGUGGACGUAUAGGGUGUGACGCCUGCCCGGUGCUGGAAGGUUAAUUGAUGGGGUCAGCCGCAAGGCGAAGCUCUUGAUCGAAGCCCCAGUAAACGGCGGCCGUAACUAUAACGGUCCUAAGGUAGCGAAAUUCCUUGUCGGGUAAGUUCCGACCUGCACGAAUGGCGUAACGACAGCGGCGCUGUCUCCACCCGAGACUCAGUGAAAUUGAAAUCGCUGUGAAGAUGCAGCGUUCCCGUGGCAAGACGGAAAGACCCCGUGAACCUUUACUAUAGCUUUACACUGAACGUUGAGUUCGUCUGUGUAGGAUAGGUGGGAGGCUAUGAAACUGUGGCGCUAGCUGCAGCGGAGCCAUCCUUGAAAUACCACCCUGUCGUGCUUGACGUUCUAACCUGGGCCCAUUAUCUGGGUCGGGGACCGUGUAUGGUGGGUAGUUUGACUGGGGCGGUCUCCUCCUAAAGAGUAACGGAGGAGCUCGAAGGUACGCUCAGCGCGGUCGGACAUCGCGCACUGUGUGCAAAGGCAUAAGCGUGCUUGACUGCAAGAUCGACGGAUCAAGCAGGUAGGAAACUAGGACUUAGUGAUCCGGUGGUUCUGUAUGGAAGGGCCAUCGCUCAACGGAUAAAAGGUACUCCGGGGAUAACAGGCUGAUACCGCCCAAGAGUUCAUAUCGACGGCGGUGUUUGGCACCUCGAUGUCGGCUCAUCACAUCCUGGGGCUGUAGUCGGUCCCAAGGGUAUGGCUGUUCGCCAUUUAAAGUGGUACGCGAGCUGGGUUCAGAACGUCGUGAGACAGUUCGGUCCCUAUCUGCCAUGGGCGUUGGAGAUUUGAGAGGGGCUGCUCCUAGUACGAGAGGACCGGAGUGGACGAACCUCUGGUGUUCCGGUUGUCACGCCAGUGGCAUUGCCGGGUAGCUAUGUUCGGAAGCGAUAACCGCUGAAAGCAUCUAAGCGGGAAGCGCGCCUCAAGAUGAGAUCUCCCGGGGCACAAGCCCCCUGAAGGAACCAUGUAGACUACGUGGUUGAUAGGUCAGGUGUGUAAGUACAGCAAUGUAUUGAGCUAACUGAUACUAAUGAUCCGUGCGGCUUGACCAUAUAACCUCA